rnacentral:lncRNA from 1 species
UCCAUUUGUACUUGAUGGCUGAUCUAGAUCUAGUAGUGUGACCAAUUGGGACGGUUCUUAUAAUGGGUCUAUAAGGCUGAUUUCACCUUAAACCUCUUCUAGUACUCUGUCCAAUAGGCUCAGGUAUCCUCCAUCAUAUAACGAGGUCUUUUCUUGCUCCUCUUCCAACUCAAGACCAUAUCCUUGUAUCUCUCGGUUGCCUUCCUAUCCCAAGCCCUACGGCGACCCACCUCAUAGGUAGGGUCUUAAUUGAGAAUUUUACACAAAAAAAUUAAAAAACUGUCAAUAAUAAUCAAUCUAUAAUUUUAUUUCAGCAGCGUUUCCUCCUAAAAUAUAAGCAUAUCCUAGUAAAAUGGGCUCAUUUCCUACUGAAUAAUAGUUUACACAACUCAUAUGUAUUAAAGCACCUCAAUAUCAACACAAAUUAACAAAAACAUAUUUAUUUUAUUUAAAUAUUAUUACAUAUUUGUAAUUAUAUAGUAAUUAUUACCUUAAUCUCACUAAAGUAUGUGUCUUUUGUCUCUUUAGACACAAACUUUCACACAUAGCCCUCGUAGUCUAUAGCAUUCUUGAAAAUCUUGAAAAUCCUCGCAAAACACAUAUAAAAUCAUAGCAAUUUG